AGUGAACGCUGGCGGUAGGCCUAACACAUGCAAGUCGAACGGCAGCACAGUAAGAGCUUGCUCUUACGGGUGGCGAGUGGCGGACGGGUGAGGAAUACAUCGGAAUCUACUUUUUCGUGGGGGAUAACGUAGGGAAACUUACGCUAAUACCGCAUACGACCUACGGGUGAAAGCAGGGGAUCUUCGGACCUUGCGCGAUUGAAUGAGCCGAUGUCGGAUUAGCUAGUUGGCGGGGUAAAGGCCCACCAAGGCGACGAUCCGUAGCUGGUCUGAGAGGAUGAUCAACCACACGGGAGAGAGGACGCGCACCAAAACCGUAAGUGAGGCACCAGCGGGGAACAUUGGACAAGGGGCAGAAGGCUGACCCAGCCAUUGCGCGUGGGUGAAGAAGGGCUUCGGGUUGUAAAGGCCUUUUGUUGGGGAAGAAAAGCGGCAGGUUAACUCCCCGCUGUUCUGACGGUACCCAAAGAAUAAGCACCGGCUAACUUCGU
rnacentral:rRNA from 1 species